rnacentral:piRNA from 1 species
UUCUUGGUCAUGAUGCUUUGUACAGGAAU